GAACGCGGCAUUGGGCAACCAGUGCCGAGUGGCGGACGGGUGAGGAACACGUGGGUUAUCUACCAAGAGGUGAGGAAUACCGGCGAGAAAUCGCCGACAAUACCGCAUAGGUUUGGAAACAAACAAAGUUGAGCAAUCAACGCCCUUUGAUGAGCCUGCGUCCGAUUAGCUAGUUGGUGGGGUAAUGGCCCACCAAGGCGACGAUCGGUAGCUGGUCUGAGAGGAUGAUCAGCCUCACUGGGACUGAGACACGGCCCAGACUCCUACGAGAGGCAGCAGUGGGGAAUAUUGGACAAUGGGCGAAAGCCUGACGCAGCCAUGCCGCGUGAAUGAUGAAGGUCUUAGGAUUGUAAAAUUCUUUCAGCGGGGAAGAUAAUGACGGUACCCGCAGAAGAAGCUCCGGCUAACUUCGUG
rnacentral:rRNA from 1 species